GAGUGAACGCUGGCGGUAGGCCUAACACAUGCAAGUCGAACGGCAGCACAGUAAGAGCUUGCUCUUACGGGUGGCGAGUGGCGGACGGGUGCGGAAUACAUCGGAAUCUACUUUUUCGUGGGGGAUAACGUAGGGAAACUUACGCUAAUACCGCAUACGACCUACGGGGGAAAGCAGGGGAUCUUCGGACCUUGCGCGAUUGAAUGAGCCGAUGUCGGAUUGGCUAGUUGGCGGGGUAAAGGCCCACCAAGGCGACGAUCCGUAGCUGGUCUGAGAGGAUGAUCAGCCACACUGGAACUGAGACACGGUCCAGACUCCUACGGGAGGCAGCAGUGGGGAAUAUUGGACAAUGGGCGCAAGCCUGAUCCAGCCAUACCGCGUGGGUGAAGAAGGCCUUCGGGUUGUAAAGCCCUUUUGUUGGGAAAGAAAAGCAGCAGGUUAAUACCCCGCUGUUCUGACGGUACCCAAAGAAUAAGCACCGGCUAACUUCGUG
rnacentral:rRNA from 1 species